GACGACCGGCUGGACACGACUCGUGAUCCGGCCCACAAGUGGAGGCUCCGAUCUCCCACCUGGCCGUCCCUCGGGACGGCGGGUCACCGGUCAGGUGGCGCCCAUCGUUCCGUACGGACGAUGGAGCCGCCCGAUGUGCGCCCCGCGGUACGCCGUGGCGGUGCUCCGGUAGCACGAGGAGCCCCGCCUGUGUCCCGUCCGGGGCAUUUUUC
rnacentral:ncRNA from 1 species